UGGCGGACGGGUGAGUAACGCGUAAAGAACUUGCCCUUUAGACUGGGAUAACAGAGGGAAACUUCUGAUAAUACUGGAUAAGUUAGUAUAUCGCAUGAUAUGCAAAUGAAAGCUACGGCACUAAAGGAGAGCUUUGCGUCCUAUUAGCUAGUUGGUAAGGUAAGAGCUUACCAAGGCGAUGAUAGGCAGCCGGCCUGAGAGGGUGGACGGCCACAAGGGGACUGAGAUACGGCCCUUACUCCUACGGGAGGCAGCAGCC
rnacentral:rRNA from 1 species